rnacentral:lncRNA from 1 species
NNNNNNNNUUUCCCUCCCUCUCUCUCUUUCUCUCCCUCUGUCUCUCUUCUCUCUUCUCUUUCUUCCCUUCCUUUUUCUUUUUCUUUCUCCAGUGCCAUUUCCCCACGCACUGCCAUAUGUAGGUCACUCUCUUCCCAAAACUUGCUCCGAACUGAAUGUAACUCGCAUCCCUCCCCUCCUCACUGCAGCGAGGCGAACGUGCUCGGAGGGAACAGCGGCUGCUGGAGACCCGCAGCACCCCGCAGCACGCAACGCCCAGCAGUUCGACCCUGCAGGACAACCCUGCACAGCACGGCUGCCCGCUCCGUGGGAGGGAAGGAGGAGGAGAGCUUUGUGAAGAGCUGCAGCGGGCACCGUGUGACACACAGGGCCCGUGCACAGCCCCCAGAGAGGUUCUGUUGUGUUUGUUGUGGGGGCAGUGAGGGACAAGGGCCAGAAAUAACAGGCACUACUACACACGCUGGAAAAAACUUUUCUUUUCUUUUCUUUUCUUUUCUUUUCUUUUCUUUUCUUUUCUUUUCUUUUCUUUUCUUUUCUUUUCUUUUCUUUUCUUUUCUUUUCUUUUCUUUUCUUUUCUUUUCUUUUCUUUUCUUUUCUUUUCUUUUCUUUUCUUUUCUUUUCUUUUCUUUUCUUUUCUUUUCUUUUCUUUUCUUUUCUUUUCUUUUCUUUUCUCCUUUCCUCCUUUCCUUUCCUUUCCUUUCCUUUCCUUUCCUUUCCUUUCCUUUCCUUUCCUUUCCUUCUCUUCCCCCUUUUCCCCCUUUCUCUUCGUUCUUCUAUUCUCUUUUUUCUUUUGAUUUUUUUCUUUUCUUUUUCUCUCUUUUCUCUCUUUCUUUCCUUGCCUUGCUUGAUCUCUUUCUUUCCCUUUCUUUUUCUUCUUUCCUUUAUUUCUUCCUUUUUUUCCCCCUUUCUUUCCCUCUGGUUUUACAUAUCUCUUUCUGUCUCAGUUUCUGCUCUCCUCUCCUCUCCCUUCGUUUUCACUCCUUCACUCACGCCCCUACUCACAAACCCCAGCGCCUUUCUCCAGCAUCACCUUCCCUGGAAAUAGGUCUAUGCAAAAUUCCCUAAUGACGUCCUUAUUAGAAAUAAACGUACGCGCGUAAAGGCGGAAAAAGUUUAACUGAUUUAUUUCCAAUGCUCUCGUUUAGAACGAACUGCCGUUGUCCCGAACAGCGCCGAGUUUCGCUGCCCAUUCGAUGUGCCGCAGGUUUCAUACCGAGCGCUCGCUAAUCCAAUUAAAAGUGCACCUGGCCUGGAAGAGCUCUGUAAUUAGCGGGAGCGUUUUUAGCCAUUUCCACGGGAACACCGUGAAAUCA